CAUUAACAGUAAGAUAUAAUUUUGUAUGCAAAAGAACAUUAAACAAUCAAAUCAAUAAAUAGACUGUGACCUCUAAUAGAAGCAUUACACUAAACUAAACCCCCAGCACAGGAGCUAGCGGAAGAAUGUGGAAGUACUCAAAUUUUGUCAACUAAUGUCGCCAAGUAGUCUAACAGGCCAUUUGUUGUGAGCAGCAGUUUCCUAACUCGAUUCUACACAUUUAGUUCAUAUUA